UUCCCUCACUGUAAAAAAUAAAUAAAAAUAGCUUGAGAAACUACAGUAUCUGCGCUUUUUAAUUCAGUAAUAAUCUUAUAUUUCAACGUGUAUAUUAGCUUACAGUAAAUCUUUGAACUACGAUAAGAGUUGCCGUAAACGUCAGUUUUCAGCUAUCGAGACAGACAAAUGCUAACCCUUUCCGUUCCUCGCGCUAUUUAUAGAAAGGUAAACAGACAACGAAAAUUGACACACAAAUGCAGAAAUAAACCAGGAAUCUAAUUUUGCUGUGAAACAACUGCUGAGCAAUAAGAUGAAACUAGCUGUUUGAUGGUGCUUGAUGAAGGAUUUUUUUUAUUCAGACUUAAUUAAGAACAUUUUGAAAAAUUAGUCUGUCUUGUCUUUGUACUUGUUAUAUAAAGCCAACGUAAAAAAAACCAAAAUAAAGCAUUUUAUUCUUGAUCUUUUA